CCGGCGACCGGCGCACGGGUGAGUAACACGUAUGCAACCUGGCCGUCACAGGUGGAUAACCGGAAGAAAUUCCGACUAAUACAGCAUAACACUCCUGAGGGACAUCCUUCGGGAGUCAAAGGAGGCAACUCCGGUGACGGAUGGGCAUGCGGCGCAUUAGGGUAGUUGGUAGGGUAACGGCCUACCAAGCCGACGAUGCGUAGGGGUUCUGAGAGGAAGGUCCCCCACAUUGGAACUGAGACACGGUCCAAACUCCUACGGGAGGCAGCAG
rnacentral:rRNA from 1 species